rnacentral:rRNA from 1 species
UCAAAUGAAUUGACGGGGCCGCACAAGCGGUGGAGCAUGUGGUUUAAUUCGAAGCAACGCGAAGAACCUUACCAGGUCUUGACAUCCCUGACAACCCGAGAGAUCGGGCGUUCCCCCUUCGGGGGACAGGGUGACAGGUGGUGCAUGGUUGUCGUCAGCUCGUGUCGUGAGAUGUUGGGUUAAGUCCCGCAACGAGCGCAACCCUCGACCUUAGUUGCCAGCAUUCAGUUGGGCACUCUAAGGUGACUGCCGGCUAAAAGUCGGAGGAAGGUGGGGAUGACGUCAAAUCAUCAUGCCCCUUAUGACCUGGGCUACACACGUGCUACAAUGGGCGGUACAAAGGGUUGCCAAGCCGCGAGGUGGAGCUAAUCCCAUAAAACCGAUCGUAGUCCGGAUCGCAGUCUGCAACUCGACUGCGUGAAGUCGAAAUCGCUAGUAAUCGUGAAUCAGAAUGUCACGGUGAAUACGUUCCCGGGCCUU